rnacentral:rRNA from 1 species
GACGAACUGUCCUAACGUUGUUCGGAAUCACUGGGCGUAAAGGGCUCGUAGGCGGCCAACUAAGUCAUACGUGAAAUCCCUCAGCUUAACUGGGGAACUGCGUGUGAUACUGGAUGGCUUGGAUUUGGGAGAGGGAUGCGGAAUUCCAGGUGUAGCGGUGAAAUGCGUAGAUAUCUGGAGGAACACCGGUGGCGAAGGCGGCAUCCUGGACCAAUAUUGACGCUGAGGAGCGAAAGCCAGGGGAGCAAACGGG